rnacentral:lncRNA from 1 species
CUACUUAUCCCGUUACAGCUCCUGGUGAGAAGGGCGAAGCCAUGUCAGAAAUAAUAGAAAAGGCUUUUUCCUUUGAAAUAUCUAAACGUUCAAAGAUGGGAACAGCCGCAGGGGGGAGAAUACUGUGCUAUGCAAGUUGAUCUGAUUUUGUGGACCAUCCAUUUCCAAUUGGGAAGCUCACUUACUUUCAACUUGAAGCAUCAGAAAACCAGACUUACAGCAGCUUCAGCCUAUAGGGGUUUAUUUUUCUCAUGUAACAAGAAGAACAGAAGUGGACAGAGGCCGAGUUCUCAAGGACUCAGUUUCUUUCUGUCCCACCAACCUUACCAUGUUGGAUUGUCAUCUUUGUGCUUGUUGCCUCAUGAUGGCAAGAUGGCUGCAGCACCUCUGGGACUCACGACUGAUUUUUAAGACUACAGAGCCUAAGUCAAAGCUUGUUCUUGGACCCAGGAAAUAUGUCAAAUCCUUCCAGUGAAUGCUCAAUCAUCCGGCCUUGUGAGAGACGCCCACAUGCUGAAGAGCCUUUCUGCAGUUCUGCAUUGAACUCUUCAUGUGGCCCCAUCUAGUAAUGAGUGCGAGUGGUCAUGUGGCAAAGACACUUUGAGGAGCCCAUCCUGGGAUGAAAACCAUGGCCAGG